rnacentral:lncRNA from 7 species
AGAUGGCCCCGGCCUGGCUGUCCGCGGCGCUGCCCGCUGCCAUUUGCCUGCUCCGCUUCCACGGCCCCGGGGCGUCCGGGCCCCGUCUGGGGCUGGAGGAGGAGAAGGAGAAGGAGAAGGAGAAGGAGAAGGAGAAGGAGAAGGAGAAGGAGAAGGAGAAGGAGAAGGAGAAGGAGAAGGAGAAGGAGAAGGAGAAGGAGAAGGAGAAGGAGAAGGAAGGCGGGGACGUGGUGGACCUCAGCGAGGCCGAGCCCGCCCUGCCCCGCUCCAUGUGGGCCUUCCUGGAGAGCGGCGAGCUGUCGGCUGCCCGCAGGAGCUUCAUAGGUGUUCAGGAAGUGCAAACUCUUCUGAGAUAUGAGGUGUCCUCGAGAGAGCCCCAUUGCAUCCAUUCCACUUGGGCUGUUUUGUUCCCUCCUGAGGCUGAAAGGGACUUCAGAACCCUACAUAGAACUUGCUGCUGCUCCAGCAUGGAAAGCAGAGAUCGUGAAGUGUGACUGCCAUUGGGGCAGGGGAAGAGGAGCUAAGACAUUCAUCUGCCAGCAUGAAGUAGCAGGUCUUGAAAAUGGUAACGGCUGUAGUAGGCCAAUUAGCAGGACCGUCAGCAGUGAAAAUGAAUUACUUCUGUGGGACGGUCCUGAUUCAGCUGACAAUGCUGCAGGAAUCAUACAGCCUUCAUGCAGCACAUGAGGAGCUUGUUGUUGCAAAGCGGUACUUUGCAUCACUCUGACGUUCUGCCAUGGACUCUUCUUCCUAGUUUUUGAUGUAUAUGAAGGCAUUGCUAAGGAGGACAUAACAGGCAGCAUUAAAUCCGAGGUGUCAGGAGACCUGGAAGAUGCUUUGCUGGCUGUGGUAAAGUGUGUAUGAAACAAGCCUGCGUACUUUGCUGAAAGACUGUAUAAAUCCAUGAAGGGCCUGGGAACAGAUCAACAACACUCUGAUCAGAGUGGUGGUGUUCCGCUUCAAGAUAGAUAUACUGGAUAUCGGAAGAGAACUCCUGACUAUGUAUGGGAAGUCUCUCUACUCCUUCAUUAAGGGAGACUGCUCAGGAGACUACAGGAACGUUCUGCUGAAGCUCUGUGGCAGUGAGGAUUGAAGGAUUCCUGGUGUAUGUUCCGUGUUAUGGGAAGGAGGGGAUCAUAAGGAUUUCUCUCAGAUUUUUGUUUGUUUGUUUGUUUGUUUGUUUCUCUCAUUAAUUGCUAUGAGUAGUGAUUUUGAUUAAUUCAUGCUCUGGUUGGGUAAUGGCAGUUCCGUUUUACCCUAGUAAAAAAAAGCCUUGUUUUACUGGCUU